AGAUUUCAUAUAGAAAGAAUUAUAAUACAAGAAGAUAGGAAAGAUAAAGUGACAAAAAAAUCCAUAACGUCUCACUAAUUUAAACAAUACGAAAAGGAGGUACAAGUUGUAAAUAUGAAAAAUAUCAGGGAUAGUAUAGCACAAAAAUGAAAAAAGUUGAUCCAUUUUCCCUUUUGGCGUCCUGGUCAAUGGUCAUGGUUCUUUGAAAUUGCCCGCCACCGAAAAUCACUUUCCUCUAGCUCUGCCUUUGCUCUCGACCUCGCGCUUCUUUCAGCGAAUAACGCACUCCUCUCUCCAAUUCCACAAUCUGAAAGGUGACAAGGAAUUAUGGAGCUUUAAGUAGGUAAGGAUAAAUGAGGUUCAACAACCCUAUUACUAAUCCGGUCAAGUGCCUGGUUUGUUAUUGUGACACACUAAGGAGACCCAUUAGGUGCAUAUCUUCUAGGAAAGUAUUGGAGGAGAGGGAACUAAACAGAGCAUUUUUUCUUCUUAGAACUGUGAAAUUUUGCUGGCUGCAUGCUUUAUGUUUAUUUUUGAGGGAUGGAUGUCACUCUUUGAUGAUUUUGUAUAGCAUUGACACAUGAGAGAUCAUAUAUCUAAUAUGAUCUGAUUUCAGCGUAAUCAAGGGAGCCUUGUGCCUAUGCUGUGACUUCUAUGUAGUUUGAGAAUUUAUAUUGCCACUAAAGUAACUACGUUAAGUAAAUUGGUCAUCGAAAUGUAAAGCAGUUCUAUGUGAUUUAAACUCCAAGGUUUUUACUUGUAAUUGAACACUGUGUUUGGAUUA